UCUCUCCCUUUUUCAGUCAUGGCCAUGGAUAUCUGUGAGCAUUCUAGGCCAAGAAAUCUUGUGGAGCUGCCUGCAUGGUGAUGGUUUCUGUGGUCAUAGAGGCUGCUUGGAAGUGAUGUGGAUUGUUUUCACUUCUAUGAUCUCAGGUAAGGAAUUAUGUGGAAACUUUUUUGGGGAUGGUAGCUGAAACCUCAUCAUGACAGAUUUUCAAAUAUAAUGAGACAAUGAUAAUAAAUUGGGAGAACAACAUCUGAGAAUACUUGACUUGCCCUCCUGACAGUUUCGUUUCUUAGAAGUGAAAAGGGGAACUGCUGCUCUGAACCAAGUUCUGAUGAAUACAGAAAGAUGAACUGCUGAGGUGGAAGUGACUGUGUUAUGACACAUGUACUAGCCAGAGGAG
rnacentral:lncRNA from 1 species